GGAGAGCUGGGCUCCAGUGCAGUCAAGUCCACAUGUGUGUACUUCCUCAGCACCCUCAGGACCUGAGGGCUAAGUACAGCUCUCAGGGAUUUAGGAAUGAAGGGGAAACCAAAGUGGGUAAGUUGCUGGGUGCCCAGAUGCAUCUUGUGGUUUCAGGUCAAGGCCACCUAAAACCCAUCUUCCAUAGAUCUCAGCACUGUCCUGCCUCUGCCAUACCACACACCCAACUGGAAGAUAUAUAUCUGUAUAUUUUAUUUAUUGGUUCUUUGAUUGAUUGAUUGGCAGAGGCAGGUUUAUUUGCUUGAGUGUCUUAGCAGCCCUAGCAACUGGUCGAGGCACCUCUGAGCUCUACUGCAGCUCUCCAUGUUGGGGACUGAUGGAGCCAUGGCCCGGGCCAGCUUCACAACUCCAGAUGGUCUGUGGAUCUCUGCUGGCCCCUCCCCAGCCUCCCUCAUCACACAGCACGUGGCCCCUGGACCAGCAGCAGCAGCACCUAGGAGCUGGCUGGGCAUGCGGAAUCCUGACCCACCCCAGGACUACUGAGCCAGCCCCUGCCCUUGUAACAUUCCCUAAGCUUGAGGGGACCCUGAAGCAUGAGCGGCACCUGCCUUGGGACGUGGCUGUCCUCCUGCAGAAGGCAGGGAUCCAAGGCCUAGAAGCCGGAGGCCCUUCGCACCCCAGCCUCCACCCUCGUCCUUUCUUCCACCUUUCGUCCACCAAUGCCUCCCACCUAGUUUUGCAGGUAGAAAUGCUGAAGCCAGAGAUGGGCAGAGACCUGCCCUUUGCCCUCCACUGGCCGAGCUGGGUGACAGCUGCAUCCCUUGGGAGAUGCACAGCUCCUGUCCAUGUCCCAGGAUGGCUCUGUCUUCUGAUCAAGCAAAAAGGCUAAGCAGCCAUGACCCACUCAACCCACGGAUGCCGGGGGCUGAACCACAGAGAAGCAGCUUUUCUCCGUGGUCAAGUGUCCAUUUACCGACAACUCUUCAGUGCUACAAAAUUUGGAGCAACCUUUGUAGGAUAUUUGGUGGCCAUGUUGCCGUCACGUGUGGGAUGGCAGGUGAUCAAAAUGCAGCUGCAGAUGGCAUGGGCCCUGGAAUCGCUUAUUCAAAUUAUGUCACUUUUUCAGAUAGGACUUUGAUUUAUAGCUGCAGAAACAAUUUUUUUUUAAUGGAUAUACCGAACUACCGCAGGGUUCUUUUGCAGCAAGGAGACCUGCUCUUCCCAGGCCCCUCGCUGGGUCAUUGCUCCUCCAAUCCCUGUGCUUCCACCCAAUGGCAUUGUCCCUGGUGACAGGGGUGGCAUGUUCACAUUUGUUCCUAUCCCGGGUUCUGGCAUGCCAGGUGCUGGUAAAUGUUGGUUGGAUGAAUAAAGAUAAACAAGUCUGUGACUCGGUGGAACUUGCCUAGGUUUCUCUGAU
rnacentral:lncRNA from 1 species